CCGGAACCAGCUGCUUAGCAGUGGCUAACAACGGCUAACAACAUAAGUAAAUCGUGUCUGGACGCCAGCUGGAGGGUUUUCACAUUAUUUCUCGCAUUGAGAAGAAAACGCCGUCAGACAGGACAUUGAUGUCAUUUGGUGGAACCCAGAACGGCGGCCGCCGUAGCAAAUGGGACCAGCCGGGCCCCGGGUCUGGUGGGAUGGGGGAGGCAGAGGCUGCACCCACUGGGGCUCUGGAUGCAGCAGCUGCUGUGGCUGCCAAGAUCAAUGCCAUGCUGGUAGCCAAGGGGAAACUCAAACCGUCUCAGAUAGGCACCCCAGGACCACCUGAUAAGGCUGUGGGAGUUGGCAAGCCUCAGGUGCCCACGAAAGCCAAGGAUGAUUUGGUGGUAGCUGAAGUUGAGAUUAAUGACGUCCCGCUCACCUGCCGGAAUCUCCUGACACGCGGGCAAACACAGGAUGAGAUCAGCAAAGUGAGCGGUGCAGCAGUUUCCACUAGGGGGCGUUACAUGACAGCAGAAGAGAAGGGCAAAGCAUUACCAGGGGAUCGACCUCUGUAUCUACACGUUCAAGGACAGACUAGGGAGCUCGUUGACCGAGCGGUGAACAGAAUAAAGGAGAUCAUCACCAAUGGGGUUGUGAAGGCUGCAACUGCCUCGUCAUCCUCCUCAUCCUUCUCCCCUAGUGGAGCGACAGUCACAGUUUACCAGCAGCACAACCCACCUCCUCCCUCAAUGCCCCCCAUGACCCACCACAAACCACACUUUCAGUCUGGGAUGCACUAUGUUCAAGACAAACUUUUUGUGGGCCUGGAACACGCUAUUCAAGGGUUUGUGGUGAAAGAGCGGGUCGAGGGCCCCGGCUGUUCAUACCUGCAGCACAUCCAGGCUGAGACUGGGGCCAAGGUCUUCCUCAGAGGAAAAGGAUCAGGCUGUCUAGAGCCUGCCUCGGGGCGAGAGGCCUUUGAACCUAUGUACAUCUAUAUCAGUCAUCCUAAACCAGAAGGACUUGCAGCAGCAAAAACACUCUGUGAGAACCUGCUGCAGACAGUACAUGCAGAGUAUUCUCGCUUCCUCAAUCAAAUGAGUGCUAUGAUGCCAACUCAAGGCUUCAUACAGCCUCCAGUGGUGAAUGGGAUGCCUCCCCAGCCUCCUUACUACCCUCCUGCUGGGUUCCAGCCAGGGUUCCCCAUGCCUGUCCCCCCACCUCAACCUCAACCUGUCCCUCCCCCUUACACAGUCCCCCCUCCUAUACCUCCUGGGGCCCCUGCAGCUGUGCCCCCUCAGUAUCCCCUCCCCCCGGCCCCUGCACCUGCACCUGGCACUUUACCACAGACUCUUCCUCCUGUCCCCUUUCCGCCAUCUGCUGCUGCGCCACCCAAAGCUCCACCCCCUGCUGCCCCGGCCAACCCACCACAGAAGAGACGCUUCACAGAGGAAGUACCAGAUGAGAGGGACAGUGGCCUUCUGGGAUACCAGCAUGGACCCAUUCAUAUGACUAAUUUAGGUGCAGGCUUCCCAGUGGGCAGCCCGGAGACUACAGGACCCCCACCACCGAGUUCCUCUGGCCCGCCGAUUGAGAGGGACAGUAGGCAGCUAAUGCCACCACCACCCAUGCCUGUGAAUGGAGUAAGACCCAAGAUGGAGGAGAGGAGGGCAUUGCAAGGCCCUCUGGGUAAGGGCAUUAUCCCAUGGAUUGACAAAUCCCUGUCCUAAAUGCACAGCCCCUGUAUGUGGAUUGUGCCCCAUUAUCCAAAUCUGGUCACAUGUGCAGAUGUAACGUAGCACAGAGAAGAGGAGAUUUUUGCUCAGGGAGGUUGUAUUUUUUUUGUAGGUUUGGAAUACAGAAUCUUUCUGUUCUUCUGGAAGUUAGUGUGUUUUUAGUCUCUCUUCCAUACACACACACACAGACUCAUCCUCACCCUCAAAUUAGCCCUUAUGCUUGCUAUAGUUCUUACAGGAUUCUGCAGCCGUGACUUGAAAUCUCCAGAUAGUGAGGUGGAGCAAUGAGUAGACGUCUUUUGACCAUUAUUCUGUCUGCUCAGGCUUUGAAACCAAGUCUAGGGAGGCUUAAGACUUGAAGGCCUUGACUUUCUUAGCCACUGGAUGCCCCACCUUACAGUCCCUUUCUGAUGACAUCAUCAGUCUGGAGUGUCUGUCAUUUGUACGCUUUCCUCACUAAUGAGAAUCUCUCUUGUUUUUGUGUUUUCUCUUUUUCUCUGUGUUUUUCUUCUCUUCCAUGUAUCUCUGGCGUGAUGCUGGAUACUGAUUGGGGGUGGGGCACGACUCUUCCUGUGAUGCUGUCCUUCUGCUCGAUUGGACGGCCCCUAACACUGUCGCUCCCCACCAACCAAUGGCUGCUUUCGACCAAUGCCCCACCUCUACUCUUCUGCUGACAUAAACUAUGAUUUAAAUCUAUUAACUACUUGUCUCUCCCAAAAUGUGUUUGUACAUAAUUAACUUGCACUGUUUUUAUUUGGAACAUAUGUGGUUGUCUAUGGUUGUUGCUGUUGCUUUGCGCCCCUUCCACCUCCCCACCCCCCCUCUAUCCAUGUGUGCCAUUUCUCCAUUCCUCUCCCCUUCCCCACCCCACCCCCCCUC